UACGUAGGUGACCAGCGUUGUCCGGAUUUACUGGGCGUAAAGAGCGCGCAGGCGGUCGUUCAAGUCAAGUGUGAAAGCCCCCGGCUCAACUGGGGAGGGUCACUUGAUACUGAUCGACUCGAAGGCAGGAGAGGGAAGCGGAAUUCCCGGUGUAGUGGUGAAAUGCGUAGAUAUCGGGAGGAACACCAGUGGCGAAGGCGGCUUCCUGGCCUGUUCUUGACGCUGAGGCGCGAAAGCUAGGGGAGCAAACGGG
rnacentral:rRNA from 1 species